rnacentral:rRNA from 1 species
UUAGUGGCGGACGGGUGAGUAACACGUGAGUAACCUGCCUUUCAGAGUGGAAUAACGUUUGGAAACGAACGCUAAUACCGCAUAACGUCAGAGGACGGCAUCGUUCUUUGACCAAAGAUUUAUCGCUGAAAGAUGGACUCGCGUCUGAUUAGCUAGUUGGUGGGGUAACGGCCCACCAAGGCGACGAUCAGUAGCCGGACUGAGAGGUUGAACGGCCACAUUGGGACUGAGAUACGGCCCAGACUCCUACGGGAGGCAGCAGUGGGGAAUAUUGGGCAAUGGGGGAAACCCUGACCCAGCAACGCCGCGUGAAGGAAGAAGGCCUUCGGGUUGUAAACUUCUUUUACCAGGGACGAAGAACGUGACGGUACCUGGAGAAAAAGCCACGGCUAACUACGUGCCAGCAGCCGCGGUAAUACGUAGGUGGCAAGCGUUGUCCGGAUUUACUGGGUGUAAAGGGCGUGUAGGCGGAGCUGCAAGUCAGAUGUGAAAUCUAGGGGCUCAACCCCUAAACUGCAUUUGAAACUGUAGCCCUUGAGUAUCGGAGAGGCAAGCGGAAUUCCUAGUGUAGCGGUGAAAUGCGUAGAUAUUAGGAGGAACACCAGUGGCGAAGGCGGCUUGCUGGACGACAACUGACGCUGAGGCGCGAAAGCGUGGGGAGCAAACAGGAUUAGAUACCCUGGUAGUCCACGCUGUAAACGAAUGAAUACUAGGGUGUGGGAGGACUGACCCCUUCCGUGCCGCAGUUAACACAAUAAAGUAUUCCACCUGGGGAGUACGACCGCAAGGUUGAAACUCAAAGGAAUUGACGGGGGCCCGCACAAGUAGCGGAGCAUGUGGUUUAAUUCGAAGCAACGCGAAGAACCUUACCUAGACUUGACAUCUUCUGCAUUACCCUUAAUCGGGGAAGUUCCUUCGGGAACAGAAUGACAGGUGGUGCAUGGUUGUCGUCAGCUCGUGUCGUGAGAUGUUGGGUUAAGUCCCGCAACGAGCGCAACCCCUAUUGUUAGUUGCUACCAUUAAGUUGAGCACUCUAGCGAGACUGCCCGGGUUAACCGGGAGGAAGGUGGGGAUGACGUCAAAUCAUCAUGCCCCUUAUGUCUAGGGCUACACACGUGCUACAAUGGCAAGUACAGAGAGAUGCAAUACCGUGAGGUGGAGCUAAACUUCAAAACUUGUCUCAGUUCGGAUUGUAGGCUGAAACUCGCCUACAUGAAGCUGGAGUUACUAGUAAUCGCGAAUCAGCUAUGUUGCGGUGAAUACGUUCUCGGGUCUUGCACACACCGCCCGUCA